rnacentral:pre_miRNA from 1 species
ACAACAUUCGGACCGUCGGUCUACCGAGCAAUAUCACCCGCUCGGUGGAAGAUCUUUCCCUACGUCGA